rnacentral:lncRNA from 1 species
GUUUGAGGCAGAUGCUAUUCAUAUGAUUCAUCUGUAAAAGUAAAUGAAGGUAUCAUUGCAGUAAUAGGGCGAUUUAAAUGACUGAUAUUAUGGUAUGGAACUCGAAAUUAGCAGCUAUUUAAUGGUUGAACAACUUGCAAGAAUGUACCAAAAUAAAUGCAAUUAUUUGUGGCUGUUGCAAUACUACAUCAAAUUAUAAAGGUUUUACUAGGGCAGAUGAAUUUAUUAUUUUAAGAUGUUGCAUUCCUCAUUUCUUCUCUCUUAUCCCUGAGUAAUGAUUUUUAUUUAGUGUUCCAAUAUUUAGUGGCUUCUAGUAUUUUAUUGUAUAGUAAGAUGGAAAACAAGGAAACUAUUGCAUGCCGGAAAGGUUUUAAGUCUCGGCGGCGGGGGACAUUCCAGCCAUCUUGUUCCAUUCCUAUGAGAAAAUGAGAUGGGGGCUUUGACCUUUGUGUGCACUACAGUUUAAGCUCUGUGGACAUGAA